rnacentral:rRNA from 1 species
AUACCAAUACUUUAAAUUUAUAUUUAGAUAGUAUAAAAUAAAGUAAUAAUUAAUAAAAGAAAAAUUAGAAUAGAUGAGUAUAGUAAUUGUAGGUAAAAUUUAAUUUCUAUAAUUGAUUAUAUUGUUCUAAGUAUUAGAUUCUUUGAAAGUGAGGUUUAAAGAGACUAGGAUUAGAGACCCUAUUAUUCUUUACUUUAAAAAUUUUAUUAUUUAAGUAGUAAGAGCUAGAAUAUAUUAUUAAAUGUUUUUAAUUUUAGAUGUGCUUGAAACUUAAAAGGCUUGGCGGUAUUAUAUAUCCUUCCAGGGGAGCUUGCUUAUUGAUUUGAUAUUCCUCAAUUUAUACUUACUUUUUCUUGAAUAAUUUCAGUUUGUGUAUUGCUGUCGUCAGUUUAUUUUGUAAAAAUUUUGGAAAAAACUUUAUAAUGAAUUGAUUAUA